ACACUGCACCCGGGGGUGGAACAGUAGUGUGUGAAGAGAGGAACAUGAAAUUCAUUAUUCACCGGAACUGGGCCAGCAUUUGAACUGUGGCUAGCCUGUUGCCCAACUCCAGGUGGCGCCACUCACGGGGAGUUUUAUUUCCAGAAAAGCCCUUCCCAGAAAACAGGGCAUGUACGGUGCCCCCUGGAGUUGUGUGAGGAUACCCUACUAGUUUGGAUUCAACAAACAAUUGAGAUGAGCAUGGUGGCCUAGAGACGAUCUCUCUUCUGUUGGCAUUUGAGAACAUCAUCAACAAAGCACAGAACAACAUUUGAUUGAGUCACCAGAAGCCAGCAUUCACAGGUGGCUCAGUGGAUGAUACAACAUCCAAUGUUCCUCACAAAGGUGAAUGAUUUCCUGCUGCAAAGACUGUGAGGCAUCAUUUUUCCAAUUAGAAGUGUUGCUUUGUCAUUGGACUACAUAUAUCUGGAUACCAUAAUGAUAAUGGACUUGCUUCCCUUUUAAUUUCAUGAUUGAGCAUUUAUAUCCUGAGUUAGACCCAGUCUGACAAAGGCACUGACAUGGAGGAGCUCAUGGUCUGAUGGGGAUAACAGGUAAAAACUACCCCCGUACCAGUUACUCUGGGUGAAGAAAGGCGUCUAUGUUUGGCAAGGACUAAGGAAUAUUUGACUUCAUGAAUCAAUAACUAUUCUCAAAGCUGCUAUUGACCUCUGAUCUGCAAAUCUGUCAGCAAAGAGAGAUUAUGGAACUCUGCAUCAAAUCGCUUUCCGUGAAUUUGUUUCCAUGCAGUGGUGUGGAAGAGCAAUUAUAAAAUUAAUUCAGAGCAGGAAUGUUUUAUAUCCUGAAUGAAGAAGAAAGGGGAGAUUGGAGGUGCUACCUUAAUGUGUGCCUGGAUCCAUCAUUCCUGAACAUGCUGCUGUUUUAUUUCAUUCUGAUGUGGUGUUUCUCCCAGCUCCUAAGCUCCUUUUGGCAUAUAUCUUUUUGCAGAACUGGAAAAAAUUUGAAAUGAGAAAAAAUGAGUUGUGGCUGUUUUUUGUUUUGGGUUUUGUUUUGGUAGAAAUGGGGUUUUAGCAUAUUUCCCAAGCUGGUCUGGAGCUCCUGAGCUCAAGGGAGCCGCUGGCCUCAGCCUCCCAAAGUGCUGGGAUUACAGGCAUGAGCCGCCACACCCAGCCUAAGAAAUGGGUUUUGUUUUGAGAUUUCCACAACCACACUAGAAGUGGCUGACAUCCUGGGAGUGAGUGUGGAAACUUCAAGACUGGCUUUUGAGAACCUGAGUCUAGGGCGUGUAUCGGGUGCUUCUUAUGUUUUCGUGCUCACUUGUGUGGGAAGACAAGAUAUGAGACAAAAAGACACACAUAGCUGCAGGCACACACGUACAUGUGUAUACAUAUUGCUGGUUUAGAAGGCCUUGAGCCUUUGGGAUACUGAGGCCAGAGGAUCACUUGAGCCUGGGAGUUUGAAACCAGCUUGCGC
rnacentral:lncRNA from 1 species